CAAGUAAACUAGAUGAUCGCGGGUACCAGUCCGAAAGGAGGUAUCCGAGGAAAGUCCGAGCUCCAUAGGGCAGGGUGCUGGAUAACGUCCAGUGGAGGUGACUCCAAGGAUAGUGCCACAGAAAUGUAGACCGCCUAAGUUUGGCCUGAUUGCUAAACUGGCAAGGAUGGAACGGUGCGGUAAGAGCGCACCAGCGGUUGGGUGACUAACCGGCUAGGUAAACCCCACCUGGAGCAAGACCUAAUAGGGGGACAAUGAGGCUGCCCGUCUCGUCCCCGGGUAAGGUUGCACCGAGGCGUUAGGUAACUAACGUCCCAGACAGAUGAUCAUCCAUGACAGAACUCGGCUUACGGUUUGCUCGUGGC
rnacentral:RNase_P_RNA from 1 species